AGAGAGAGGGAGAGAGAGAGAGAAGGACCAAUCAGAAUAAGCUACAAACAACUUACAACAAUCACUUGAUGGACCAUGCCAUUCGCUAAGCCCUCUGGCAAUUGGUUGCCCAAAAUGAACUUGGGUUAACAUAAAAACUAAAUGCCUCUGUGCACGGGAUGGCUACUUCAAAAGUCCCCAUCCUGAACCUCUCCUCUCUUUCUUUAACCUUUCAUAUGGCAAAGGUAAUCCAACCCAUUACAGUAAAUCCAAAAGAGGCGGCUGUCCCGACUGUGGUUUGGCAUGGUUAGGCCUUGAGGUAGAUGUGGCCCCCCUUCCUCUUCCUCUGCCCACAGCAG
rnacentral:misc_RNA from 1 species